UACGAAGGGGGCGAGCGUUGUUCGGAAUUACUGGGCGUAAAGGGCGCGCAGGCGGCUCUGAAAGUCAGAUGGUGAAAGCCCCGGGCUUAACCUGGGAAUUGCAUUUGAUACUCUGGAGCUUGGAGUACGGGAGAGGAGAGUGGAAUUCCCAGUGUAGAGGUGAAAUUCGUAGAUAGUUGGGAAGAACACCGGUGGCGAAGGCGGCUCUCUGGACCGUAACUGACGCUGAGGCGCGAAAGCGUGGGGAGCAAACAGGGAUUAAGAAACCCGGGUG
rnacentral:rRNA from 1 species